CACCAACGCCCGCAGAGCGCCGACCCCGAGCUCCUCCUCCCCGGCCUCCCUCGCGCGUCGUCCGGCGACCGGCGCCGCUGCCGGCGACCACCCAGGAGCUCAGCACCAGCGCCACGGAUGCCCAGUCCUCGAGCUCACCUUGGAGGUUCGAAUGCCGCCACGGGACCUCCACCGGCCAGAUCCGGCGCCUCCCUCCCGUAUCCGCGCGCCCUCCACCUCCUCUACCCGAUCCGGCGGCGCCAAACCCGCCAUGACCUCCACCAUGGCGCCCGUCGUGAUCCUGUGCAUCCUCUCCGUCGUCGCACGAGGACUUGGACGCCUGGCUCGCUGACAAACUCCCCCAAAUCCUACAGGAGGUUCAGCCAGAGUGUUCAUGGGAGCCUUUGGCGGGCUGAUUGGCCUCCCCAGCCCAUGUCCAUGAGUUGACUCCAUCACCCUCUGCCCCGAUCACCGGCCUGGACCAGGAGCAUCUUCUACGUUGCAAGCAAAGAUGAUGAAACACCUGGACCAUCUUGCACGCGCUUGCAGUCUUUGCGACGCGGUGGCAUAGAAAUCAAGGUCCUAUGCAUACUAAAUGUGCAGCUUGGCAUGGCUCUUGGCACACACACAGUCCAUCAGAUGAACAGAGCACUCUUGGAGUACUCCUGUAUUUCCUACAACAAUAUUACUUACAUUUAGUUUGGUGCCAUCAUGGAAAUUCAGAUGGGCGUUCCACAGCGUGUUCAGAAUAAUACUUUGCAAGGGACAGCAGGUCGACGUCGAGCAGCAGCAGCAGGUUCUGCAGCUUCGACGACCCCGAUGAGUCCGCGGUCGUGCUCAACUCCUGCCAGGAGGGUGUGGAGGAGUUUCCCCUUGAACUCCAUGCCCUGAUUCUAAGGUCAUUGUUCUACUGGCACUCACUUCACCUGAACAGCUGGACGAGAUGAUAGUGGAUAUACUCAGUGCAGUAUAUUGCUAUAAGGUUGCGUAUUAGCUUCAAGUGAUUUUACUCUUAUUGGUAUCUUGACAAAGCUUGAAGUAUAUGUUGGUGUCUUGAUAGAUACAAGCCUCCCUCUUCUGCCCUUCUUUUCUCCAUCCUCUUCAGGUCGCUAGCACAUGUGAAUGGUUCUCGUCAAGAGCAUGCUUGUGACAUCAUUACUAUAUGUGAUGUAGGGCAAAAUGAUGUUGUCAGAAGGUAAAAACACAUUUAAUCAUUUGCUAUUUUUUUCCUUGCCCGUUUCCACCGUCAUAUACACUGCAUCUCCCACUGUAACGGACAUCCAAAUUUGUAUUCUUCAAAGUUUUAAUCAUCUCUAUUGCAGCUAAGUGUUCAAGUGCAUCUCUAGCCAAGUUCCCUUUGCUAUUGUGUUGUAUUUUGAGGAAAGGUGGCCGAGCAGCUCAUGGCAUCCGUGUCGCGCCUGCUCUGCUGCUGCCUUGACCCGCCGCCGACGUCGCCGGUUGAGCCGCAAGGGUGCAAGAUCAUUGUGGGGCCCAUUGCAUGGGCGUUGAGUAUGCUUGAUUGCCAUGUCGUAGGCGAAGGUGCUAGAGCUUGGUGGCGUGUUUGUGAUGUUUUUUUUCUCCCGUUGCAACGCAUCGAUUGAUUUAUUCAUGCAUCUGUCGAUUUACUCUAAAUUUUUUUCAGUCGUCAAACAUUAACUGGAUUGGUUCGUGGAUAUGUAGUGUGACAAGUCGUGUGAGAUGAAGGUAGUGAACCAUCUCAAUGUGAAGCCAAGUAUGUGGUGGAUUUGCCAUGGAAGAUGGAAAACUGGUAAGGGUAAAAGUUUGAGCUGUCAAAUUUUGUGUGAUCGAGGUCUUGGACGGUCAAACCUAAAACGUUCAGUGAAGAUUCAGAUUACAUAUGGAUUCCUUUUUGUUGCCUACAAUGCUAUAAUCACGCUAACUAUGCGCAUGGUGUGUACCAGAGAUGAUUCAAAAAUUGCUUGCAGAUGGAUGUCAAGGAGACCGAAGCCCGUUGUGCCAAAACUAACACAUUAGAAUCUUUCAAUUUACUGCUACCAUAUUUCAAAGUAAGAACACGAUGAUGCAAAGGAAUCUUAUUGUGUAGCCAUAUGUAAUCUCAAUUUGUUGCUAUGUAUAAACUAUGAUAGGAGUAGGCCCAUAUAGAUGUGUAUCCAUUUUUGCCUUCUACUGAUCUAUGACAAAGGGGGUGUGCUGGACUAAGUGGCCGUUACUAUUGAAGCAAAGGAGUGGAACUCGCAAAUUUUCAAUGAAUGGAGGUCAUCUUUCAUAUGGAUUUUAUUAUUAAAUA